rnacentral:misc_RNA from 1 species
AAGGAGUCUAACAUCUAUGCGAGUGUUUGGGUGUCAAACCCGAGCGCCGAAUGAAAAUGAACGGAGGUGGGAACCCGCAAGGGUGCACCAUCGACCGAUCCUGAUGUUCUCGGAAGGAUUUGAGUAAGAGCAUAGCUGUUGGGACCCGAAAGAUGGUGAACUAUGCUUGAAUAGGGUGAAGUCAGGGGAAACUCUGGUGGAGGCUCGCAGCGGUUCUGACGUGCAAAUCGAUCGUCAAAUUUGGGUAUAGGGGCGAAAGACUAAUCGAACCAUCUAGUAGCUGGUUCCUGC